UACAGAGGGUGCGAGCGUUAAUCGGAGUUACUGGGCGUAAAGGGCGCGUAGGCGGUUAUUUAAGUGAGAUGUGAAAUCCCUGGGCUUAACCUAGGAACGGCAUCUCAUACUGGAUGACUGGAGUAUUGUAGAGGGUAGUGGAAUUUCCGGUGUAGCGGUGAAAUGCGUAGAGAUCGGAAGGAAUACCAGUGGCGAAGGCGGCUACCUGGACAAAUACUGACGCUGAGGCGCGAAAGCGUGGGGAGCAAACAGG
rnacentral:rRNA from 1 species